CAAUCUACACGCUGCAUUUUGGUCCGACUCUCCUUCACACCUAGAAAACCGUUACAGCUUUUAAAUAUUUGUAUCUCUGGAGUUGUUCCUGAUGUGUUAAAAUAUGUUAUACUUUGUAUUGCUGUCAGUCAUUACUGGUCAUUUUAUAUUUUAUAUUAUGUAAUACUAUAUUGUUCAGUGUCAUGAUAUUCCUUGUUUCAUUAUCAAAUUAUUCAUUAUUAGGUAUUUUAGAUACAUUGAAUACAUGUUGUAAAUAAGCUCAAAGGUAGACAAUAAAAAGACAACAAAUGCAUGUAUGAUUUUGUUAAUUUACAUUGAAUCAUAACUACAUCCAUUCAGCUCAUUUCUUGUAUUUCUGCCUAUUGGAUACAUGAUUGUGCUAUUGAACCACAUAACCAUGAGUGGCUAGACACACACACACACACACCCUACACCUACCUAGACGUUACCAGAUUCUUUCCCAGUAGUUGAGACAAUGUACGGGUGUGUUGUUGUGGAUGCCUAUGUCAGUAUGUAUGGGUAUGUUGCUCCCUAGACUACUGCAGGAGUACUCUAAUGUAAGAUGUCAAACAGAUUUACUAGGUGGUAAAGAUCUGGAUGGACUAUUUCUAUUUUGAUCUCAUUUCUUUGAUUCUUUGGGAAUAGUUCAUACUGGUGUCUGGAGCUCUACCCCUCUGCCCUAUCAGACGCUCAGAAGUCCAUCCAGCUCGCCCCUGAUUGGCCAAAGGGAUACUUCCUCAAGGAGAGUGCACUGAUGGGGUUAAAGCUGUAUGGUGAGGCAGAAAGGGCCAUGGAUCAGGUGUUAAAGCUGGAUCAGGUCCUCCACUGAGGUCUUCAACUGCAAGGUCCUGCAGAUCAUGAACCUGGGUUUUGAGGAGGGGCAGAGAUUUUUGCAGGACUCCAGUGGUGGAUCUCUCCUCCCCCAGGACUCCAGUGGUGGACCCUCCUCCCUCAUGACUCCAGUGGUGGACCUCUCCUCCCCUCAUGACUCCAGUGGUG